GACGAACGCUGGCGGCGUGCCUAAUACAUGCCAGUAGAACGCUGAAGGAGGAGCUUGCUUCUCUGGAUGAGUUGCGAACGGGUGAGUAACGCGUAGGUAACCUGCCUGGUAGCGGGGGAUAUCUAUUGGAAACGAUAGCUAAUACCGCAUAAGAGUAGGUGUUGCAUGACAUUUACUUAAAAGGUGCAAUUGCAUCACUACCAGAUGGACCUGCGUUGUAUUAGCUAGUUGGUGAGGUAACGGCUCACCAAGGCAACGAUACAUAGCCGACCUGAGAGGGUGAUCGGCCACACUGGGACUGAGACACGGCCCAGACUCCUACGGGAGGCAGCAGUAGGGAAUCUUCGGCAAUGGACGGAAGUCUGACCGAGCAACGCCGCGUGAGUGAAGAAGGUUUUCGGAUCGUAAAGCUCUGUUGUAAGAGAAGAACGAGUGUGAGAGUGGAAAGUUCACACUGUGACGGUAUCUUACCAGAAAGGGACGGCUAACUACGUG
rnacentral:rRNA from 1 species